GUUUCUACGACAGGAACGACAUCUUCAGCGGGUCCAACAACAUCAGGAGUGACUACUUCGACAAGCCCAUCAACAACAGGUCCAACUCCU